rnacentral:ncRNA from 5 species
GGAUAGCUCAGUCGGUAGAG